rnacentral:lncRNA from 1 species
AAGAAUCUUGAAUUAGCUGAAGGACCAUUUCUAUUUGUGCAUCCUCUGAUUGACCAGGUGCAUCAGAUGGUUUUUCUGAUAUUUCAGUAUCAGCUGCAAUUUUCACUUCAACAGACUUUGUCUCUUCAGUUUGAUCAUUGUGAUCAGAGGUUGACUCUGACAUUUGUUGGUCAGCUGCUGCAAUAUCAAGUGGCAUUGCAGAAAUGGGUUCAAUCAAAAGUGGCUCUGCAGAGUGAUCAGAGAAUGUAAGCAAGGGUUGUUCAGGAUCCUCUGACUGUGGUGGUUCCACAGUCAGAUCAGUAAUAGAGGUUGGCUGUAUUUUCUUUCUCAGCCUCUUUGCUGGUGGAGGAGGAGGAAUGUCUUCUUCUGAUUCAGAAUCUGAAAUUUUCUGAAGGAAUCUUCUUUUUCUGGGAGGAGGAGAAGGUUUAGUUGGAGAUUUGGUGGAUCUGAGUAUCCUUUUUGGUGAAGAUUUUUCAACUGGUCCUUGUUGAGAAGAACCAGAGGGUGGUUUGGGAUCAGAAGUUGCUAUUUGGUCAUGAGCAGGAGAUGGAGGCUGUGGGAUAUUCUCAUCAGAGAAUAAGGCUUCAUACUUGUCUGGUAAAGCUAUCUUCAGUUUAUCCUGUACAGUCACAGGAAUAGCAAAUACAGGUACAGUAUUCUUUUUACUAUCCUUCUUAAUCAGAUCAGUAAAAGCUCUUUUGGUGAUUUUAAAUGGGAGUUCAUUUCCAUCAUCAGGAAGGGGCACAUCAGGGAAGCAGUAAGAAAAUAUGAGCUGACAAAAUCUUGAAUAAUAGACAAUAUUCAUAUUUUCUUUUCUCCUAUCACCAAUAAAUCUCAAGAUAGAUGUGGCAAUAUCAAAUUUGAGAUUGUGGAUUAGAAAAUACCCAAUCUGCUGGCUGAAGAUGGGAAUGGCAUCAAAGUUGCUGCAUUUGUUACCAAAAGCUCUGGUUAUGCAGUCAUAGAAGAAGCUCCACUCCUUGCAGAGGUGUGGACGCUUAAGUUCCCCCAUUUUGUCUGUGCUUGCAGAAUACCCAAGAAAGAUCAUCAUGUCACGCAAAGUCUGAGUGGGUACUGAAGCAUCAUAUUUCUUUUCUUCAGGAAGAUGAAGAGCCUUCCUAAUGGUUGCUGGUGAGAUAGCAUACUCUUGGCCUUCAUAAUUGCAGGUGAGAGAUGGAGAACCAUUUUCACCUCCAUCAUCGUAAUUUGCUGAUCUCCAGAGGGUGAGAACUUGAGAAGGAGAGAUUAGCUCUGGCUGAGUCAGAGCAUACAUCAGCUCACUGUGAGCCAAGAAAUCUUGAAUAAGAUGAAACUCCUUGGGUGCUUCAUCGUUAUCCAGAAUGGCUGAGUAGUUGUUGGUGACAAACUUUGCUCCAUUGAACUCGAAAGCAGUUGUCGACAUGAUUUCUGAAAAGAAAAUGAGAGUUUGAGGUUAUGCAGGUAUGUUGUUUGACAAAAUGUUUGAGAGAAAAUGAGAAGAGGGUUUGAGAGAGAGAGAGUAAAAAUCGUGUGUGAAAAGUGAAGAGUUAAAAAUUCAAAAUCGAUAUAUAUACGAGUGUAUAUACGAAAAUCUGAUUUCUGCGUUAGUGGGGCACGUGGCAGGUUCUGAACGGUAAAAAAACUUGGUAGUGGAGAAGUAAUUAUGAGUGGCGUGUGAAUCUGAACAACUGUGCACCAUUUACCAAUAAAACACAAUUAUUUACCGUGUUUUUCUCCACUCAGGAAUACAAAUGGUUUUUCUACCGUUUGAUAAUAAAAACUAAUAUUAUCUUGACCAAAAUAUUUAUUUUAACUCGGACUUCGAUCAGAAGCUGACCAUUGACCAGAGUUUAAAUAAAUGACUUAUAAAAUGACAAAUCAAAGAGUGAUCAUAGAAUCUUGUAAUGAUGAGAGAUAAAUAUUCAAGGUCUAAAUGACACUUGCUCCUCAGAGUUUGCAAAUAUUUAUUGAACUCUAGUCAAAAAUUACUCGAAGCCAAGAAAAAUUGUUAAUCACAGAAGUGGAGUGAGGUGUGUGUUAACAUGAAUAUUCUAAUGUCACAGAGAUUGUCAAAUUUCUCAAAUAAUAUUAGAAAGAAUCAGAUAAUAAGAAAAUGUUUUAAUCAUCUCAUAAGCCGAGUUUCUCACAAAUGGAUCAGAGUAUACCAUUUCUUCUCUUUUGAACAACAUUUGUCUUUUGAAAGGGAACUUCUCAUGGUAAGUGAGUCAUAACCUUUAUCAGACUUUUGUUUGCUCAGAGUAUUUCUCCAGUAAUCAGAGAAUGUGAAAAGUCCCCAAAAAUUAACUUAAUUUUCGAUGCAUUUGCUUAAUACCAGCAGUGCACUUGGAUCUUUCCUUUCACAAAUUUUCUAAGAUCUCAAAGGAGUACCUGAGAUAAUUUCUUUUGUUUUUCUUUUCUUUUGAUUUUCUUUUCUGAGAAGAAAUAUCUUGAGGAUCCAUAACUGAAAUAUAUUAACUCUUAGCUCAUAAGAGGAGAAAAGCAGAUUCUUUUCUGAGUACAUAUCUAAUACUUAAGAAGUAAGACAGUCUAGGUAACAAAAUUAACUCAUGUGUUGUGUGUUAAGGAUUUCCACAGCUGUAAUAUCACAAAAUUCAGACUUUAGAGAGGCUUAUGACUAAAUUCAGUUAAGUGCAACAUAUUCUUCACAGGAGUAUCUUUCAUCAUGAAAAAUUCAAGUCAUCAGAGUUUGUCGGGUCAGAGUUUAAAUAUCAGAGUUUAUCAAAUCAGAGUAUAAUCAUCAGAGUCUAGAUCAGAGAAUAACAGAUGCAGUUGUAGAUCAUGUUUAUAAUAACAAAUACUAACAGAUAUAGUAUCAUGCAAUGUAUCAGAGUUUAGAGAGGACCAGAGAUCAUCCCUAAUUCGUUUACAAGCCUUGUAAAUGUUGCUUCAGCCAGAGGUUUGGUGAAGAUAUCUGCCAACUGCUGAUCUGUUGGAACAAAGUGAAGCUCUACUGUUCCUUCCAUCACAUGUUCUCUGAUAAAAUGAUACCUUAUGCUGAUAUGCUUGGUCAUGGAAUGCUGUACUGGAUUUCCUGUCAUAGCAAUAGCACUUUGGUUAUCACAAUAAAUAGGAAUUUGAGUCAGAGUUAACCCAUAGUCCAGUAGUUGAUUCUUCAUCCAUAAAAUCUGAGCACAGCAGCUUCCUGCAGCAAUAUACUCUGCUUCUGCAGUGGAUGUGGAAAUAGAUUUUUGUUUCUUACUGAACCAAGAAACUAAUCUUCCUCCUAGAAAUUGACAGCUCCCACUUGUACUUUUUCUGUCUAUUUUGCAUCCUGCAAAAUCUGCAUCAGAGUAACCAAUCAGUGUAAAGUCUGAUUCUCUGGGAUACCAGAGUCCCAUCUCAACUGUUCCUUUGAGAUAUUUGAAAAUCCUUUUGACUGCUACAAGGUGUGGUUCUCUUGGAUCUGCUUGAAAUCUUGCACAGAGACAGGUUGCAAACAUGAUAUCAGGUCUACUAGCAGUCAGAUAUAGAAGUGAGCCUAUCAUACCUCUAUAGUUAGUAAUUUCUACUGGUGAACCAGUAUCUUUAUCUAACUUAGUGGCAGUUGCCAUUGGAGUGGUAGCAGCUGAGCUAUCCUGCAUGCCAAAUUUCUUUAGCAGGUUCCUGGUAUAUUUAGACUGAUUAAUGAAAAUACCCUCAUCAGUCUGUUUGACUUGAAGUCCCAAAAAAUAGCUCAUUUCUCCCAUCAUGCUCAUCUGAUAUCUGGACUGCAUAAGCUUUGAGAAUCUCUCACAGAGUUUAGAAUUAGUAGACCCAAAAAUGAUAUCAUCUACAUAGACUUGAACUAAUAGCAGAUCAUUACCAUGGUUGAGAUAAAAUAGAGUUUUAUCAAUUGUACCUCUGUUGAAACCACUGUCCAAAAGAAAUUGAGCCAGAGUUUCAUACCAUGCUCUUGGUGCUUGCUUUAGUCCAUACAGUGCUUUAUCCAAUCUGUAGACAUGAUCUGGAAAUUUUGUGUCCACAAAUCCUGGAGGUUGUUCAACAUAUACCUCUUCCUCCAGCUCCCCAUUGAGAAAAGCACUCUUUACAUCCAUCUGAAACACUUUGAAUUUCUUGUGUGCUGCAUAAGCCAAGAAAAUUCUGAUUGCUUCCAAUCUGGCAACUGGGGCAAAGGUCUCAUCAUAGUCAAUUCCUUCUUGUUGAGAAUAUCCCUUAGCUACCAGUCUGGCUUUAUUUCUUGUAAUUACACCAUCACUGUCUGUUUUGUUCCUAAAAACCCACUUAGUACCAACAAUUGAUCUGUUCUUUGGUCUUGGUACAAGUGUCCAGACUUUAUUUCUCUCAAAUUCAUUUAACUCCUCCUGCAUUGCUGUUACCCAGUCUGCAUCCUUUAAAGCUUCUUCCACUUUCUUUGGUUCUGUCUGAGAUAAAAAUGAAUGAAAUAGACACUCAUUUGCUGUUGCAGUUCUGGUUUGUACUCCAGCAUCUGGAUCCCCAAUAAUCAGAUCUGGUGUAUGAGACUUUGUCCAUUUUCUUUCAUGUGGCAGUUGAUUUCUGGAACUAGAUCCUCCCCCAUGAUCCAUGCCAGUAUCAUUUUGAUCUCUGAUGCCUCUCCCCCAUUAUUCAUGCUAUCUCCAUGAGCAUUCUGAGUUUCUGAUGCUCCCCCUGAAGAUGUGUUCUCCUGAUUCUCUGAUGCAGAGUGAUCAGAGUUUGAGGAGUCAGAAUCAGAGUUUGUGUUUUCUGCCGAGUCUGCAACAUUUUCAUCCAGAUUUUCAUCUUGAAAGUGCUCCCCCUCAACAUGUGCUUGAGGUUGGUUAGUAGAAGUGACAUGCUCUGAUAUUGUCUCAGAGUCAGAGUUUAUGGAGUCAGAGAAUGUAUCUUCAUCUUCAAAUCUCAGUUGCUCAUGAUCUUCAAAAUCUUCCAUUCCAGUAAUUUUCUUAUCAUCAAAGGAUACAUGAAUGGAUUCCAUGAUUACCCUUGUUCUCAGAUUGUAAACUCUGAAGGCUUUUGUUGAUAAAGGAUAACCAACAAAAAUUCCUUCAUCAGCUUUUAAAUCAAAUUUGGUUAGCUGUUCAGGAUGAUUUUUCAGAACAAAACAUUUACAUCCAAAGAUAUGGAAGUAUUUGAGAUUUGGUUUUCUGCCUUUAACCAUUUCAAAUGGAGUUUUUCCAUGUUUAUUAAUCAGAGUUGCAUUCUGUGUGAAACAGGCAGACUGCACAGCCUCAGCCCAGAAGUAGGUUGGCAAUUUUGCUUCCUCCAACAUGGUUCUAGCAGCUUCAAUUAGAGUUCUGUUCUUCCUUUCUACAACACCAUUUUGUUGAGGUGUUCCAGGUGCUGAAAAUUCCUGUUUAAUGCCAUUUGCUUUACAGAACUCCUCCAUUUUAAAAUUCUUGAACUCAGUGCCAUUAUUUAUGAUUUGUGCAUAAGGAAAUUCUCCUUCCAAAAAUCUAACAUGUCUAGAAGUAUAAACUUUGUUAGAUUUUGGAUCAAAACAAUGAUAUGCGCUUUGAGUUUUGGAAUAUCCAAUAAAAAUACAUGGCGUUGAUUUUGGUAUUAACUUAUGGCUAGCAUAGGGACGAAGCCAGGGGUAACAUAAGCAACCAAAACUGCGUAAUUUAAGAUAAUCAGGGAGAGUGCCAAAUAAACAAAAAUAUGGUGAUUUAUUGGACAAUGUAGGCGUUGGCAGUCUAUUAAUAAGAUAUGCAGCGGUUGUAAAGGCAUAAGACCAGAAUGUGAUUGGAAGCUUAGCAUGAGCAAGGAGCGAAAGCCCUGUUUCAACAAUAUGGCGGUGCCGUCGUUCAGCAUUAUCACUUCUUAUGAUCUUUACUGCAUCUUUAGAGAUUUUGUUCAACUGCCUGAUAUGCUCAAUCAAUAAAGAUGGUGUUUCAUCCUUGCUGUGAAGAAAAUAUACCCACGUAUAUCUGGUAAAUUCAUCAACAAUGACCAGAGUAUAUCUCUUCUUUGCAAUGGACAUUAUAUUUACUGGUCCAAAAAGAUCAACAUGCAGCAGAUGAUAUGGCUCAAGAAUUGAGGACUCAGUUUUACUUUUGAAGGAAGACUUCCUCUGUUUUGCUUUCUGACAGGAAUCACAGAGUCCAUCUGGAGUAAAAACUGAUUUUGGAAGUCCUUUCACAAGAUCUUUCUUCACAAGCUCAUUUAUAUUAUUGAAGUUCAGGUGAGAUAAUUUCUUGUGCCAGUUCCAGCUUUCUUCAAUACUGGCUCUGCCAAGUAGACAGAUUGCAGAGCUUUCAGAGUUUAAAGAUAGCUUAGCUUCAUAGAUGUUGCCAUGUCUGUAUCCUUUUAGAACAACUUUUCCAGUGGUUUUACUGAUAACUUCACAAUGUUCCUCCAGGAAAUCAACAUGAUAUCCUCUGUCACAGAUUUGACUUAUGCUUAGCAGGUUGUGCUUAAGUCCUGAAACCAGAGCUACAGAUUGAAUGAUGACAUUUCCAAGAUUGAUGUUGCCAUAUCCCAAAGUUUUCCCUAUUUUGCCAUCUCCGGUGUAGUUUCUCUGACUGGCUCAGAGAUUAUAGGGGUUGAUGUGACUUCUGUGCCUUCAUCAUCAUCAAUGUCUGCAAGAAAAACACUCAGAGUAUGUGACUCUAGAGCUUCAGUAGCUGCCUCAGAGUUUUCUGCCAUUUGAAUCUCCUGAGCAGGAGCUGCAACAAUAUCAUCAGGUUGAACUAAAGAAUCUUGAAUUAGCUGAAGGACCAUUUCUAUUUGUGCAUCCUCUGAUUGACCAGGUGCAUCAGAUGGUUUUUCUGAUAUUUCAGUAUCAGCUGCAAUUGUCACUUCAACAGACUUUGUCUCUUCAGGUUGAUCAAUGUGAUCAGAGGAUGACUCUGAUAUUUGUUGGUCAGCUGCUGCAAUAUCAAGAGGCAUUGCAAAAAUGGGUUCAAUCAAAAGUGGCUCUGCAGAGGGAUCAGAGAAUGUAAGCAAGGGGUGUUCAGGAUCCUCUGACUGUGGUGGUUCCACAGUCAGAUCAGUAAUAGAGGUUGGCUGUAUUUUCUUUCGCAGCCUCUUUGCUGGUGGAGGAGGUGGAGGUGCUUCAUCAGAGUCAGAGUCUGAUAUUUUCUGCAGAAAUCUUCUUUUUCUGGGAGGUGGGGAGGGUUUGGUUGGGGAUUUAGUGGACCUGAGUAUCCUCUUGGGUGAAGAUUUUUCAACUGGUCCUUGUUGUGAAGAACCAGAGGGUAGUGUGUGAGUAGAUUUUACAACUGGCCCCUUUUGGGAAGGACCAGAGGUUGGGACUGGUUCUGGAUCAACAGUAGAAGGUGAAGGCUGUGGUAUAUUCUCAUCAGAGAAU